rnacentral:rRNA from 1 species
AUUGAACGCUGGCGGCAGGCCUAACACAUGCAAGUCGAACGAGUGGCGGACGGGUGAGUAAUGUCUGGGCAACUGCCUGGUGGCGGGGGAUAACUACUGGAAACGGUAUCUAAUAACGCCUACCAUCAGAUGUGCCCAGAUGGGAUGAGGGUGUUGGUGGGGUACCGGCUAACAAAGGCGACGCUCCCUAGCUGGUCUGAGAGGAUGACCAGCCACACUGGAACGGAGACACGGUCCAGACUCCUACGGGAGGCAGCAGUGGGGAAUAUUGCACAAUGGGCGCAAGCCGGAUGCAGCCAUGCCGCGGGUAGGAAGAAGGCCUUCGGGUUGUAAAGUACUUUCAGCGGGGAGGCGUUACCCGCAGAAGAAGCACCGGCUAACUCCGGGCCAGCCGCCGCGGUAAUUC